GUCAGCAGCCAUAUCACCCUGUAGCCCAAGACUGGUUGCCCACUGAAGCUAAGCAGGGUUGAGCCUGGCCAGUACCUGGAUGGGAGACCUCCUGGGAAAAAGAGGUGUUAUUGAGG
rnacentral:rRNA from 1 species